GGGGUGCAGCAGGCGCGAAACCUUAGCAAUGUGCGAAAGCACGACUGGGUCAGUCCGAGUGAUUCCUGAUAAAGGAGUCUUUUGCCUGUCCUAAAAGCACAGGUGAAUAAGGGGUGGGCAAGUCUGGUGUCAGCCGCCGCGGUAAUACCAGCACCUCGAGUGGUCAGGACGUUUAUUGGGCCUAAAGCAUCCGUAGCCGGCUNUGCAAGUCUUCGGUUAAAUCCACCUGCUCAACAGAUGGGCCGCUGGAGAUACUACAGAGCUAGGGAGUGGGAGAGGCAGACGGUAUUCAGUGGGUAGGGGUAAAAUCCUCUGAUCCAUUGAGGACCACCAGUGGCGAAGGCGGUCUGCCAGAACACGUUCGACGGUGAGGGAUGAAAGCUGGGGGAGCAAACCGGAUUAGAUACCCGGGUAGUCCCAGCUGUAAACGAUGCAAACUCGGUGAUGCAUUGGCUUAUGGCCAAUGCAGUGCCGCAGGGAAGCCGUUAAGUUUGCCGCCUGGAAGUACG
rnacentral:rRNA from 1 species